AUGAACGCUGGCGGCGUGCCUAAUACAUGCAAGUCGAGCGAACGGACGAGAAGCUUGCUUCUCUGAUGUUAGCGGCGGACGGGUGAGUAACACGUGGAUAACCUACCUAUAAGACUGGGAUAACUUCGGGAAACCGGAGCUGAUACCGGAUAAUAUUUUGAACCGCAUGGUUCAAAAGUGAAAGACGGUCUUGCUGUCACUUAUAGAUGGAUCCGCGCUGCAUUAGCUAGUUGGUAAGGUAACGGCUUACCAAGGCAACGAUGCAUAGCCGACCUGAGAGGGUGAUCGGCCACACUGGAACUGAGAUACGGUCCAGACUCCUACGGGAGGCAGCAGUAGGGAAUCUUCCGCAAUGGGCGAAAGCCUGACGGAGCAACGCCGCGUGAGUGAUGAAGGUCUUCGGAUCGUAAAACUCUGUUAUUAGGGAAGAACAUAUGUGUAAGUAACUGUGCACAUCUUGACGGUACCUAAUCAGAAAGCCACGGCUAACUACGUG
rnacentral:rRNA from 1 species